GUGAGGAAUAUUGCGCAAUGGAGGCAACUCUGACGCAGCCAUGCCGCGUGCAGGAAGAAGGCCUUCGGGUUGUAAACUGCUUUUGUACGGAACGAAACGGUCCGGGUUAAUACCCUGGGCUAAUGACGGUACCGUAAGAAUAAGCACCGGCUAACUACGUGCCAGCAGCCGCGGUAAUACGUAGGGUGCAAGCGUUAAUCGGAAUUACUGGGCGUAAAGCGUGCGCAGGCGGUUUUGUAAGACAGGCGUGAAAUCCCCGGGCUCAACCUGGGAAUUGCGCUUGUGACUGCAAGGCUGGAGUGCGGCAGAGGGGGAUGGAAUUCCGCGUGUAGCAGUGAAAUGCGUAGAUAUGCGGAGGAACACCGAUGGCGAAGGCAAUCCCCUGGGCCUGCACUGACGCUCAUGCACGAAAGCGUGGGGAGCAAACAGGAUUAGAUACCCCGGUAGUCC
rnacentral:rRNA from 1 species